rnacentral:rRNA from 1 species
UACGGGGGGAGCAAGCGUUGUUCGGAUUUACUGGGCGUAAAGGGCGCGUAGGCGGUCAGCACAAGUCAGUUGUGAAAUCUCCGGGCUUAACUCGGAAAGGUCAACUGAUACUGUGCGACUAGAGUGCGGAAGGGGCAACUGGAAUUCUCGGUGUAGCGGUGAAAUGCGUAGAUAUCGAGAGGAACACCAGUGGCGAAGGCGACUACCUGGCCUGUUCUUGACGCUGAGGCGCGAAAGCUGGGGGAGCAAACGGG